CAAAGGAAAAUUGAAAGGAAAAAGAGGAAAUCUUCCACAAAUACAUAAACAAAGUUUGUUCAUUCUUCAAAUCGAGGAAACCAUCCACAAAAACAUUGAAAAAUCUGGAAAAAAAAGUCGAGCAGAUCAGCAAUGAAAACACAAAAAAAAUUACAGGUAUUUCUAUGUUUUGGAUUCCAUGAUUAUAGCUCAUUAUCCAUCUCGAUUUUGUUUGAAUUAACAUUUAUGAAAAUAAAAUUGUUGAAGUUGAGUGGAUUGUGUAUGAAAAAUUAGUUUUGAAUCAAUUACAUUGAUGCUUGCAAGGUGUUUGACAAAAAGAUAAUAUGAAAAAGUGGCAUUCUAUCACUUUUUUCAAAAAAAAGUCACAGUAUUUCUUUUAAGCAAUUAGCUAGGUAUGCACGUGUGAAUUUUUGAAAAUUUGAACGUACAUAUUCAAGCCCUAUUUUCUGGUAAUUAACACAUGAGAAAGAAAACUUUAAACCAAUUGCAUUGAUGCUUGCAAUGUGUUUGCCCAAAGAAGAAGGUGAGAAAGUGGCAUUUUGUCACUUUUCUUAGAAAAAGUGACAUUUUGUGACUUUUCUCCAAAACAGUCACCAUUUAUCAUUGGAGCAAUUAAUCGGAUGCAUACAUUUAUUUUUUUGAAAGUUUGAAUAUUCCAAUUCAUACCUUGUUUUUUGGUAAUACAUAUGAAAAAGAAAACUUUGAAUCGACUACAUACAUUUGCUUGCAAGAUGUUUGAUCAUGAAGAGUGACAUUCUGUCACCUUUCUAAAAAAAGUGACAUUUGUUACAUUUAUAUAAGAACAGUCACCCUUUAUCAUUCGAACAAUUAACCGGAUGCAUAUGUGUGCUUUUUUGAAAGUUUAAACAUAUCAAUUCAUGCCCUCUUAUCUGAGAAUACAUAUGAAAAUGAAAAUUUUGAAUCAAUUACAUGGAUGCACAUGGAGAGGGUGACAUUCUGUCACUUUUCUUAAAAAAAAAAAAAGUGACAUUGUGUGACCUUUUUUCUCCAAUUCAGUCACACUUUAUCAUUGGAGCAAUUAACCGGAUGUAUACGUGUGCUUUUCUGAAAGUUUAAACAUACCAAUUCAUACUCUAUUUUCUGGUACUACAUAUGAAAAUAAAAAACUUUGAAUCCACUACAUGGAUGCAUGUAAUGUGUUUGCUUAUGUAAUCCACUAUCACUUUUUCCCAAAAAAAAGUGACAUUGUGUCACUUUUCUCCGAAAAAGUGGCAUUCUAUCACUUUUCUCCGAAAAAAGUGGCAUUCUGUCACUUUUUUCCAAAAAUAGUCAAGCAUUUUGGAAUUAUUAAGAUACAUAUUCAAGCCCUGUUUUCUAGUAAUAAACAUGAAAAAGAAAACUUUGAAUCAAGUACAUUGAUACAUGCAUGGUGUUUGAUGAAGGAGAAUGUGAAAAAUUAACAUGCUGUCACUUUUUUCAGAAAAAGUCACAGAAUCACUUUUGGGCCUAAUAACUAGAUGCAUAUUACUUGGUCACUUAAAAAAAAAAAAAACAAAACUCACACAAUCUCUUUGUAAUAUUUUUGUAGGUAUGGAUAAAAUCAAUGUCUUCAUUUGUUAUGGAGGCAAGUGGACACAAGAUAAUGAGUACACAAGUGACAAAAUGACUGGAAUUGUUGUCCCGAUGGAUUGCACAUACAACCACCUUGAGUACAUGAUAUGUUCUGUGAUGAAAGUAAGUGCAUCAACUCAGAGAGUAAAAAUACAAUAUAGAGUGAAGAAAAACCUGCCUUUAAUGGAGAUUUCAGAUGAUAUUUCACUAACAUUUUAUUUGGAGUUGAAGAGAAAGGAUAAAGAUCUUACAAGCUUUCCAUUGUUCAUAGAUGUGACAACGGUAUCAAAAAGUCACGAAACUGAAUUUGUUAAUAAUAUACAAUGUUUGGAGGCUGUCAAUUAUGAAAAAAAUGAUAUGCUACAAUUGCAGUUUUGCGAAGCUGUAACUGAUAAUUCUGUGACAUCGGCUCAAAAAUUACCUAGUAUGGAAGAAAUUGCGAUUGAUGUAUACAAUAGUAUGUCGGAAGUUGGAGAAACAACGAAUGAAGGAGGAAGUGAUAUCAUUUCAAUGGUCACUAUGGAUGGAAUUUCAAAAGAUAAAGUGUUCAAGAACAAGACAUUGGUUAAGAGAAGUAUUUCGGUAUAUGCGAUACACAAUAACUUUCAAUUCAAGGUAAGUAAGUCGGACAAGAAAGAGUAUGUGUU
rnacentral:lncRNA from 1 species